rnacentral:rRNA from 1 species
GACCCGAAACCCGGUGAUCUAGCCAUGGGCAGGUUGAAGGUUGGGUAACACUAACUGGAGGACCGAACCGACUAAUGUUGAAAAAUUAGCGGAUGACUUGUGGCUGGGGGUGAAAGGCCAAUCAAACCGGGAGAUAGCUGGUUCUCCCCGAAAGCUAUUUAGGUAGCGCCUCGUGAAUUCAUCUCCGGGGGUAGAGCACUGUUUCGGCAAGGGGGUCAUCCCGACUUACCAACCCGAUGCAAACUGCGAAUACCGGAGAAUGUUAUCACGGGAGACACACGGCGGGUGCUAACGUCCGUCGUGAAGAGGGAAACAACCCAGACCGCCAGCUAAGGUCCCAAAGUCAUGGUUAAGUGGGAAACGAUGUGGGAAGGCCCAGACAGCCAGGAUGUUGGCUUAGAAGCAGCCAUCAUUUAAAGAAAGCGUAAUAGCUCACUGGUCGAGUCGGCCUGCGCGGAAGAUGUAACGGGGCUAAACCAUGCACCGAAGCUGCGGCAGCGACACUGUGUGUUGUUGGGUAGGGGAGCGUUCUGUAAGCCUGCGAAGGUGUACUGUGAGGUAUGCUGGAGGUAUCAGAAGUGCGAAUGCUGACAUAAGUAACGAUAAAGCGGGUGAAAAGCCCGCUCGCCGGAAGACCAAGGGUUCCUGUCCAACGUUAAUCGGGGCAGGGUGAGUCGACCCCUAAGGCGAGGCCGAAAGGCGUAGUCGAUGGGAAACAGGUUAAUAUUCCUGUACUUGGUGUUACUGCGAAGGGGGGACGGAGAAGGCUAUGUUGGCCGGGCGACGGUUGUCCCGGUUUAAGCGUGUAGGCUGGUUUUCCAGGCAAAUCCGGAAAACUAAGGCUGAGGCGUGAUGACGAGGCACUACGGUGCUGAAGCAACAAAUGCCCUGCUUCCAGGAAAAGCCUCUAAGCAUCAGGUAACAUCAAAUCGUACCCCAAACCGACACAGGUGGUCAGGUAGAGAAUACCAAGGCGCUUGAGAGAACUCGGGUGAAGGAACUAGGCAAAAUGGUGCCGUAACUUCGGGAGAAGGCACGCUGAUAUGUAGGUGAAGUCCCUCGCGGAUGGAGCUGAAAUCAGUCGAAGAUACCAGCUGGCUGCAACUGUUUAUUAAAAACACAGCACUGUGCAAACACGAAAGUGGACGUAUACGGUGUGACGCCUGCCCGGUGCCGGAAGGUUAAUUGAUGGGGUUAGCGGUAACGCGAAGCUCUUGAUCGAAGCCCCGGUAAACGGCGGCCGUAACUAUAACGGUCCUAAGGUAGCGAAAUUCCUUGUCGGGUAAGUUCCGACCUGCACGAAUGGCGUAAUGAUGGCCAGGCUGUCUCCACCCGAGACUCAGUGAAAUUGAACUCGCUGUGAAGAUGCAGUGUACCCGCGGCAAGACGGAAAGACCCCGUGAACCUUUACUAUAGCUUGACACUGAACAUUGAGCCUUGAUGUGUAGGAUAGGUGGGAGGCUUUGAAGUGUGGACGCCAGUCUGCAUGGAGCCGACCUUGAAAUACCACCCUUUAAUGUUU